UCUCCGUUGGUGAACCAGCGGAGGGAUCAUUACCGAGUUUACAACUCCCAAACCCAAUGUGAACUAUACGUGUCUACCGUUGCUUCGGCGGGUUCGCCCGCCGAAGGACCGACAAAUAAACUCUUGUAUUUCUAUCUUUUGCAUGUCUGAGUGGAAUCAUAAACAAAUGAAUCAAAACUUUCAACAACGGAUCUCUUGGUUCUG
rnacentral:misc_RNA from 1 species